rnacentral:rRNA from 1 species
UUUUAAAUGGCCGCAGUAUUUUGACUGUGCAAAGGUAGCAUAAUCAUUAGUUUUUUAAUUGAAAGCUUGUAUGAAAGGCUGGACGAGGUAAAUUCUGUCUCUAUUUAAAUUAUAAUAGAAUUUAACUUUUAAGUUAAAAGGCUUAAAUAUUAUUAAAAGACGAGAAGACCCUAUAGAGCUUUAUAAUUUAUUAAAUAAAAUUAAUUUAGAAUUAUUUAUGUUUUAUUUAUUAAAUUAUUUUAUUGGGGUAAUAGAAAGAUUGAAUUAAUUCUUUUUUUUAAUAAACAUUAAUUUAUGAAUAUUAAUGAUCCAAUUUUAUUGAUUAUAAGAUUAAGUUACCUUAGGGAUAACAGCGUAAUUUUUUUAGAGAGUUCAUAUCGAUAAGAAAGGUUGCGACCUCGAUGUUGGAUUAAAGAUUAUUUUAGGUGUAGAAGCUUAAUAAUUUUGGUCUGUUCGACCAUUAAAUCUUUACAUGAUCUGAGUUCAGACCGGCGUAAGCCAGGUCGGUUUCUAUCUUUAAUACAAUAAAAUAUUUUAGUACGAAAGGACCAAAUAUUUGAUAUAUUUAUAUUUAAUUUUUGAAUAUUA